UGUAUGUAAAUAGAACAAUUCUUCCAUCAUUGACUCUUGAAAACAUCCAUGAUCAAGAUGUACAGAAUGGACAUAAAAAAUUUUUUGAAAUACGUGUUUUACAUGAUCUCAAGAGUCACUGAUUGAAGAAUUAUUCUAUUACUCAUGCGUGACUGAUGUACCUCACUCACACUCACUCACUCUCCGGUUUAACGUCUGUUGUUCCCCAUCCCUUGGGGGUUAGACGUGCUUGCAUGUAGAUGAGGGGGCUUGAUGGCAGCUCGCCAGCGUCCUCUGUCACUUGGGUUGACAUUGUGAAGGUUGAGGAAGUGUACCUCUUCAACCAAAGUAUUGUCUGAUAUAAGACCGAUUUAAAUCUUCUACAGCAUGAAGAAGUCAUUUGGAAAAAUAGACUAGUUUACCACUGUAGUUGUACAGCUGUGUUGUAAGGACUGAAAUGUUAACUAGGACAGAAGAGCAACAUGUACCCUAACUGUAACUUCGCAUUUGUUGUAGUUUGUGAUUUAUGGUUUUUUAUUACUUAUACAGGCUAACUUUCAGUUAUGAUAUGCAGGAAAUGAUCCGUGUUUUUGGACAUGUUAUGUCCCAGAUAGUAAGUUUGUUAGCAAAUGUGUACGUCUGCAAGUAGACUUUUGAUGUCAGAGCUUAUAUUUGUCUCUCACUUUUUCUGUGAAGGAGUGGUGUUUGUGGGUUUUAAAAACCUUCAGAAACAGAUGUAAUGCAUACUUGUAAUAGCAUAGUGCCAAUAACUUGGUUUUCUAUUAAUCUACAUCAUUUAUGAUCAUUUUUAUUAGUUAUGGUUAAUUGUUGUUGAUAUGUAUACAAGUCUAGUUCAGAAAAAAGUUGUAGGUAGUAUUAUUGACAGCAGUAUUGAUGAUCAUACUGUAUAGCUUAUAGACAUACAUUUUGUAGAAAUGGUAGACUUAUAUUCUAGAAUUAAGGCCAUAUGUUUUUGGCUACAUGGAUGACAUCUGCAGUUGCAUCAAUUUUCAGCCAUUUCCAAAAUCAAUGAAGAAGUUUCUGACGAUAUUGUAAAACAUACAAAACAGCUAUAAAUUGAGCACAUAUAUUUGCUAACACUAAUGUUAUACAAUGCCAACAUCAAUUCCAAGGUCAAAGAAGAAGACUAAAAAUGAAGACUAUUAUUUAGUAUACCAUAAUCUGUGUUGUCAGUCACUUUCCUGACCACAUAGAUUUUGUACUGAAUAGAACUAGGGGGGGGGGGUCUUUUUUUUACAUGCAUGCUCGUACCAGUUUUGAGGUUCCCAAGGUAUAUUAUCGAUAUGCAGGCUUUUCAUUGACGUCAUACUAAUUAUAAUUUGAACCCUCGGACGACCAUGUUGGCGGGUAAUUGAAUUAAGCAGUAGCAUCUUUGUGUGUUUUUUUACAGACAUGCGCUGUAAUCCAACAUGGCGCAGAUGACGUCAAAUUAAAAGCCUGUAUAAUCAAACCAACAUGGCCUUAUCGUACUAAAUGUCUUGUACUCCUAGUUGUAGAGCCUUCUGUUAUGCAGUCGGUAACGUUAUGGGAAGGCUUUUUUUUUUUUAGUUUAACUUGCUAGUAUGUUCCUUCAAGUUAUUCAUGUUGUAAACUAGCAUGUAGACAAGUUUGUUAUCAAUCAUGCAAAUUAGCUUGUGAUUUUGUUCAUGUAUGUCAAUGUUUUCCUAAAGCUACAUGACUGUGAAGAUUCUUUCAUUAAGAAAAUGUUAAACUACUAGUACUCU